UGCUGCUGCUGCUGCUGCUGCUACUGCUGCUUGGCCCUGGCUGGAGACAUCUCACUACACCCAGGAGCAGCCACUUCCCCAGCUCUCCUCCUCCUUCUCCUCCUCCUCCUCCACUCCCCCCCUUUAUUACCCUUUGUGUCAUCCUCCACAGCUCCAGGGAAGGCACUCAAAAGUGGGGGGCAGGAAAGAUGAACAUUGGAGAUGACAGUUUCUGCGUGUGUGAAGGACAUUCUGAAGGCUUUAUGGUUUACACACAGGAUCUUUAGAAAUUAGACACUCAAGCAGGACCGAGUAAAUACCAGAAACCAACAGCACAGACUAUUUUUCAUCAGUCCACAGAAUCCUAAUACUUCUGUAACUCCAUCAAACACAGAGGAAUGACCGCCUUGGCAGAUGGCCACAGAGGAUGUCAACAAUUUUU